UACGAAGGGUGCAAGCGUUACUCGGAAUCACUGGGCGUAGAGCGUGCGUAGGCGGUUCGUUAAGUCUGCUGUGAAAGCCCUGGGCUCAACCUGGGAACUGCAGUGGAUACUGGCGGACUAGAGUGUGAUAGAGGAUGGUGGAAUUCCUGGUGUAGCAGUGAAAUGCGUAGAUAUCAAGUGGAACACCAGUGGCGAAGGCGAAUCCCUGGAAAAUACCUGACACUGAGGCACGAAAGCUAGGGGAGCAAACAGG
rnacentral:rRNA from 1 species